rnacentral:rRNA from 1 species
AACUUAUUUUUUUUUUUWUUUKUUGUUGUUGUAAAAUUAUAUUWAGAGGUAUUAAUUAAUAAAUUUAAUUAAAAUUAUAAUCCAAAUCAAAAUGUAGAAUAAKUAAGAGUUUAAUGAGUUACAAUUAGAUUAAUAAUUGAAUUUUAAAAAAUUUAAUUUUAUAAAUGAAAAUGGAUUUAAAAGUAAAAUUAUAUAAACUUAUAAUUGGAAA